GAAGCCUGUUUUACUGCAAAAUUAGGUCUUAAUGUGCUUCACAAGCUAAAUCUUUUCAGAAAAAGGACUAGAGCAGUCAUAGUUGGUUGUCUACCCAAUAUCCACUCCCUCUUCCAUUCUCUGGCAGAACCCCAACAUUGUGCUGGGAGCCUGCCCCCUACUCCCACUCCCCCAAUCCAUGCAGGUAAAGAAAGCACAUCUCAGCCCAGCCGAGGACAGAAGGAGGUGGGACAGUUCUGACUGGUCGAAGCCACUUAUGGAAAGCCCAUCCCACCUCUCUCAAUAUAUAUUUCCAGAGGCCAUAUUUAAGCUCCUGUCAUCAUAGAACUUAGAAUUAGAACAAAUGCUCAAUAAACGUUGAUGAAUGAAACAAUCAGCACUUGGCAUUCCCCUCACCAUUGUUAUUGGUCCAGGAACGGAUACAUGACCUAGCUGGGUCAAAUGAGGCUGAAGAGAAGGACUUUUAAGGUUAAAUGAAAGGUUCAUUGUGUUCUCCACUAUUUUGAACAAAGCAACGCACUGCCCAUUUCUGCUGGGCACCAUUUUGCCACUUUGAGAACGGAGCCCGAGAACAAGCUCCCCUCAGAGGAGGGCGGAGCUGAGAGAAUCUCUAAGAAACGGAGCCAGAGCUUACCUUCCCUCUGCACUUCCAGUUCUGCUCUGCUUCUGGAAAACCUGACCCAAGAUGAAUCCUCCAUAGUAUUAGCUAGAAGUCACACAGCUUGUGAAAGAUGUCAUCAGAACUGGACCCCAGAUCUUCUGACCUCCAAGUUUACACUCUCACCAGUUCAGCCCUGCCCCUUCUCGCCAUCUCUGGGUACGGGACCUUGUGGGGGCUGAGUAAUAUGUCUAGUAUUUGUUGCUUCUGAGCUCACCAUAUGGGAACCAUUAAGUGUCUGUAUUCCUACCGGGAUCCUAGGUUCCUGCUAACCCUCAUCCCUCUCUGGGGGCCCACAGGAGCAAUGACUCAGGCCUCACUGGGUGGAAGUGUUCCCUGCAGAGUUGCUAGCAGGCCCUGUGACUGUAGGGGUCCAGGAGACUCGUGGGAGUGAGGGCCACCAGAGAUCAAGUUCCUAGGUAGAGGGCAUAUGGAUCCAGGUCUGGCCUAUUGAUGUCUACUCCCCCACCCAGGGUCUCUCCUGCCAUCCUGGGUGUGAGCACAGCAGGAAUAGCUGGUUCUGAGUUC
rnacentral:lncRNA from 1 species